rnacentral:lncRNA from 1 species
UGCAAUUUCUGAUCUGACCGGGUUUGUUUUUAGGGGCAUUAAUUUGGUGCUUUCCGUGUCCAGAGAAAAGUAGUAGAAGGGGAUGAGGAAGGAGGAGAAAGACCAGAAGAAGGGCAAGGGAGGUGGGGCGAUCUGAAUGUUCCUUGUUUAAUUUUUUUAUGUUGCAUGCUCUCUGAUUUCAGAGUAGAUUUCUUUACAGCUUGUUGAAUACCAAUGGUGUUCUCCUCUGUUUGAUUACUAUGGCUGGUUGCUUGUUUAACUUUUGUGUGAGAAAUAAUGGAGAUCAAGUGAGGUAAUCUUGUUUCUAAAUUUAGAUACAUGCAUGUAUGUGGGGCUCUAGUUCUAAACAUAGCAGACUACUACCCUCCUAUAUGUUGUGCGAACCAGAGAGCUUCUUAAUUGAUUAACAUUUUGGAUUGGUUUAAUUUUUCUAAAAAUGGCUGCUUCUGUUGUCACACAUACACAUGCUUCUGGACAGUGCUACUAGCUAUUAUCUUUGCUAUUUUUUUUAUUUGUUUCAACCAUGUACUGCUAGUUGUGGUUGUCAAACAAAAAGAAUUGGUUUAUGAUUCAUAAUGUACAGACAUUAGCUUGUCUUUUCAAGGAGUCGGUUUGUGAUACAUGCCCACCUAUUCAUUUUACUUUCAAAGAAAAGAAUUGGCUUGUGAUUUGUUAUGCUCAGGCCUCGGGCAUUAAUUUUCACUGUCACAUGCAUGGUUUCAGAUUACCUGUGAGGUCGUCCACCGCGACUGUCACUGUGAGGUUGGUUAUUUCCCUACAAACAUUGCUCUACUGUAGCCUAGUUCGUUUCUAUGCUGCUGGUUGUGAAACCAAACUAGGUGGGGGUGUGUGUGAUGAGGUUUGGUUUAGUGCUUGAUGCCACCGGACUGUAGGUUCUUGUGUAGGACUACUUGUUAUAUAACUCUGGUUCCUGAUGAGAUCAUGUAUAUACUAGGCUAGUUGCACUUUGGUUCUAUCUAUUUCAAAUCAUAUUUGGUCAUUCAUGUUUGUAUGUGUGUGUGUGUGUGUGUGUGUGUGUGUGUGUGCGUGUGCGUGUGCGUGCGCGUGUGCGCGUGUGUGUGUGUCGUCUCUCUGCCUCUGCAUCUCUGCCUCUGUCUCUCUGCCUCUGUCUCUGUCUCUGUGUCUCUGUCUGUGUCUGUGUGUGUGUGUGAUGCAUGUGUGCUUCGAUUUGGAGCAGCAGUAGGACGACGACGAGAGGACGAGUACCUCGACGGCGACGACAACCAGGAGGAUGAACCCACCCACAAGGGCACCGACGCCGGCCAUCAGAACGACGACUCUUCGUCCUGCACCACCUCACGCUGCGACGGCUACAGGUAAUUUUUUGGGGAUUGCCUAUGUUUCAAUCCUAUGGAUCCGCUGCAUGCUUGGUACUACUUGCAAUCUGCCUUUCAAGUAGAUCCAAUCAACAUCCAAGUUUCUGAAAAUUCAGUUUAGAAUUAUAUGCAAUUCCAUCAGUAGAGAGAGAGAGAGAGAGAGAGAGAGAGAAAGGGGGUCCAUGGUCUAAACAUACACAUCAUCUGCAAUGCAAUCGAGAGAGAGGGAGAGAGAGGCAUCAGCUGAGUGUGGAUGAAUUUCCUAACCCUAAUAGGCAAUGCCAAUUUAUUUCUUGAGCCACAUGCUUCCUGGUAGGUAAACUCAAGAAGGUUCCGUUAGUGUUGGUAAUCUGUACUUGUGUUAUUCAAGAGGUUGUAUUAUUUUGAGAAGGCAAGAGGUCGUAUUUACAGUAUGUUUCAUAAAUCCUACAAUAUGUAUAGCUUCCCAUCUCGAUUAUUUUCAGGAUUGCGAUCCUUUUGACGUAUUUAAUUUUCCUUUAAUCAUUGGGACUGGGCAAGGGUUUGAGCUCUGUUUUGUGCACUGGUUUUAGCUCAUUUAUGCUGCCUAAAUUCUGCUUUACUUCCAAAUGCAACGCACUAAUUAGUGCAUGUACAUGGUUAGUGAAGGAAAGUUUGCAGUUGCAGCCGUCACUCUAGAUGAUUAUCUUUCGAUGCAAAGUACUGAAGUGAAAAGUUGGUGACUUGCUUUCUAAAAUAUGAAAGCAUUAGUUUCUUGUUCUAUUCAUUUCAUCAUAGAUUUGGUAGCACAAAAAUGGCAUACUUAGAUAGGUUAACUCUAAAAUAACACAAAUAAUGAAUAAGAUGGAAAAAACAAGGAAGAGGAGGAAGAGAAGGAAUAGGAAGAGCUCUUCUUCUUCUUCUAGUCUUCUUCUUCUAAUUUCUUACUCCCAUUUUUGCAGGUUUGGUUCACUUCAUGGAAGGGCAGAAUGCUACUAUUUAGAUGUUUGAUGUUUGAUGUAUUGGAUGUUUGUGGAACUAUUGGAUGUUUGUGAAACUAUGUAUAUAUGAAUUGGAUGUAUGAUGUUUGAUGUUUGAUGACGAUGGUGAAACUAUGUUUGAUGUAUGAUGUUUGAAACUAUGUGAUUCUGAAUAUAUGUGUGUGUGUGUGUGUGUGUGUGUG